UUAUGGCUCAGGACGAACGCUGGCGGCGUGCUUCAUACAUGCAAGUCGAACGAGAAGCUGACUUCGGUCAGUGGAAAGUGGCGGACGGGUGAGUAAUACGUAGAGAAUCUGCCCUUGAGUGGGGGACAACAGAGGGAAACUUCUGCUAAUACCCCAUAUGAGCUAACUUGAAAUAGUUAUCUUGAAAACUCCGGUGCUCAAGGAUGAGUCUGCAUCUGAUUAGCUAGUUGGCGGUGUAAUGGACCACCAAGGCGACGAUCAGUAGCUGGUUUGAGAGGAUGAUCAGCCACAAUGGGACUGAGACACGGCCCAUACUCCUACGGGAGGCAGCAGUAGGGAAUUUUGCGCAAUGGGCGAAAGCCCUGACGCAGCAACGCCGCGUGAACGAUUAAGCCCUUCGGGGUGUAAAGUUCUGUCAGUAGGGACGAAUUUUGACGGUACCUACAGAGGAAGCACCGGCUAACUCCGUGCCAGCCGCCGC
rnacentral:rRNA from 1 species